rnacentral:rRNA from 1 species
AGAGUUUGAUCCUGGCUCAGAUUGAACGCUGGCGGCAGGCCUAACACAUGCAAGUCGAACGGUAACAGGAAACAGCUUGCUGUUUCGCUGACGAGUGGCGGACGGGUGAGUAAUGUCUGGGAAACUGCCUGAUGGAGGGGGAUAACUACUGGAAACGGUAGCUAAUACCGCAUAACGUCGCAAGACCAAAGAGGGGGACCUUCGGGCCUCUUGCCAUCGGAUGUGCCCAGAUGGGAUUAGCUUGUUGGUGGGGUAACGGCUCACCAAGGCGACGAUCCCUAGCUGGUCUGAGAGGAUGACCAGCCACACUGGAACUGAGACACGGUCCAGACUCCUACGGGAGGCAGCAGUGGGGAAUAUUGCACAAUGGGCGCAAGCCUGAUGCAGCCAUGCCGCGUGUAUGAAGAAGGCCUUCGGGUUGUAAAGUACUUUCAGCGGGGAGGAAGGGAGUAAAGUUAAUACCUUUACUCAUUGACGUUACCCGCAGAAGAAGCACCGGCUAACUCCGUGCCAGCAGCCGCGGUAAUACGGAGGGUGCAAGCGUUAAUCGGAAUUACUGGGCGUAAAGCGCACGCAGGCGGUUUGUUAAGUCAGAUGUGAAAUCCCCGGGCUCAACCUGGGAACUGCAUCUGAUACUGGCAAGCUUGAGUCUCGUAGAGGGGGGUAGAAUUCCAGGUGUAGCGGUGAAAUGCGUAGAGAUCUGGAGGAAUACCGGUGGCGAAGGCGGCCCCCUGGACGAAGACUGACGCUCAGGUGCGAAAGCGUGGGGAGCAAACAGGAUUAGAUACCCUGGUAGUCCACGCCGUAAACGAUGUCGACUUGGAGGUUGUGCCCUUGAGGCGUGGCUUCCGGAGCUAACGCGUUAAGUCGACCGCCUGGGGAGUACGGCCGCAAGGUUAAAACUCAAAUGAAUUGACGGGGGCCCGCACAAGCGGUGGAGCAUGUGGUUUAAUUCGAUGCAACGCGAAGAACCUUACCUGGUCUUGACAUCCACGGAAGUUUUCAGAGAUGAAAAUGUGCCUUCGGGAACCGUGAGACAGGUGCUGCAUGGCUGUCGUCAGCUCGGGUUGGGAAAUGUUGGGUUAAGUCCCGCAACGAGCGCAACCCUUAUUCUUUUGUUGCCAGCGUUCCGGCCGGGAACUCAAAGGAACUGCCCUUGUAAAACUGGAGGAAGGGGGGGAUGACGCCAAGCUUCCUUGGCCCUUUCAACCAGGGGUAACACCUGGUUAAAUGGGCCUACCAAAAGAAAACGACCUUCCGGAGGACAGGGGCCCUCAAAAAUGCGCCGGUAUCCCGGAUUGGAGUCUGCAACUCGACUCCAUGAAGUCGGAAUCGCUAGUAAUCGUGGAUCAGAAUGCCACGGUGAAUACGUUCCCGGGCCUUGUACACACCGCCCGUC